UGCAGUCGACGGUAGCACAGAGAGCUUGCUCCUGGGUGACCAGUGGCGGACGGGUGAGUAAUGUCUGGGAAACUGCCUGAUGGAGGGGGAUAACUACUGGAAACGGUAGCUAAUACCGCAUAACGUCGCAAGACCAAAGAGGGGGACCUUCGGGCCUCUUGCCAUCAGAUGUGCCCAGAUGGGAUUAGCUAGUAGGUGGGGUAAUGGCUCACCUAGGCGACGAUCCCUAGCUGGUCUGAGAGGAUGACCAGCCACACUGGAACUGAGACACGGUCCAGACUCCUACGGGAGGCAGCAGUGGGGAAUAUUGCACAAUGGGCGCAAGCCUGAUGCAGCCAUGCCGCGUGUAUGAAGAAGGCCUUCGGGUUGUAAAGUACUUUCAGCGAGGAGGAAGGUGUUGAGGUUAAUAACCUCAUCAAUUGACGUUACUCGCAGAAAAAGCACCGGCUAACUCCGUGCCAGCAGCCGCGGUAAUACGGAGGGUGCAAGCGUUAAUCGGAAUUACUGGGCGUAAAGCGCACGCAGGCGGUCUGUCAAGUCGGAUGUGAAAUCCCCGGGCUCAACCUGGGAACUGCAUUCGAAACUGGCAGGCUAGAGUCUUGUAGAGGGGGGUAGAAUUCCAGGUGUAGCGGUGAAAUGCGUAGAGAUCUGGAGGAAUACCGAUGGCGAAGGCGGACCCCUGGACAAAGACUGACGCUCAGGUGCGAAAGCGUGUGGAGCAAACAGGAUUAGAUACCCUGGUAGUCCACGCCGUAACGAUGUCGACU
rnacentral:rRNA from 1 species